GACUCCAGUAAGCCCUGGUUCUUCUUUCCCUGGUCUGGCCUCACAGGAGGAGUUGGCCAGCAGCUGUGGGCCACUCUGGCUUUAGCCACACGCGGGAGGAGAGAUGCCCUGGACUGUCCUGCUUUUCGCAGCUGGCUCCUUGGCCAUCCCAGCGCCGUCCAUCCUGCUGGUGCCCCCGCACCCCAGCAGCCAGAAGGAUCCCAUCCACAUCGUGUGCAUGGCCCCCAAGGACUUCCUGGGGGCGAAUUUUACACUGUACCGCGGUGGGCAGGUGGUCCAGCUCCUGCAGGCCCCUGCAGGCCAGCUUGGGGUCACCUUCAACUUGAGCGGCAACAGCAGUGAGGCUCCAGGGGGAGCAUUCUACUGCCAGUACAGUGUGAUAGGGGAGCACAGCCAGCCCCAGCCAUCGGACUUCAGCGAGUCCAUACAUGUUUCCUUCCCAGCUGGACCGCUGUGUCACCAUCAAUCAGAACUUUCCGCUGCAAAGAGAUCCUUGUUGCCAGCGGAGGCACAUACGCUGUGUGAAGGAACAGUCUCUGUGGACUUCCUGGCCAUGAGCUCCACUGUCAAAGGCCCCCUUCUCUCACCUUAGUCUUGUGGUCUUGGGGUAGGGAAGUGGCAACAGCCCUCCUGCCCCAGAUGAAUGAAUGAACAAGGGCUGACACUGUGAGAAUCCAAGUGUGUGUCUCUCCUUCCUGCUCCUGGUUUAGCUCCUGACCUCUGCUGAGGUCAGGACAUCUCCUCCUGGACCCCCGGAGAGAUCCUCUGUCUCUCCAGGGAGGGGCAGCUGAGUCCUUUGCAGAGAAGAAAAUUCUGGAGCUAGGGCUUCCAUGCUUCUGUUCCUGACCUCUGCGUGGGCCUCAGAGUCCACCAUGUGGCUGGGGGUGGAUGUUGUCUGACCCCCUAGGACCCAGGCUGAAACCACCAGGACGCUUCAGGUUGCAAGUAACUGAAAACUUGACUCAAACUGGCGGUCUAACUAUACCCAAACCACACGGCUGGAGCACAUAGGAGAGAGCUGGCUCCCGAAAGUGCCCACUUGGAUCCUGGCACUUUCCCUA